rnacentral:rRNA from 1 species
AACGAACGCUGGCGGCAUGCCUAACACAUGCAAGUCGAACGAGACCUUCGGGUCUAGUGGCGCACGGGUGCGUAACGCGUGGGAACCUGCCCUUAGGUUCGGAAUAACUCCCCGACAGGGGUGCUAAUACCGGAUAAUGUCUUCGGACCAAAGAUUUAUCGCCUUUGGAUGGGCCCGCGUUGGAUUAGCUAGUUGGUAGGGUAAAAGCCUACCAAGGCGACGAUCCAUAGCUGGUCUGAGAGGAUGAUCAGCCACACUGGGACUGAGACACGGCCCAGACUCCUACGGGAGGCAGCAGUGGGGAAUAUUGGACAAUGGGCGAAAGCCUGAUCCAGCAAUGCCGCGUGAGUGAUGAAGGCCUUAGGGUUGUAAAGCUCUUGUACCCGGGAUGAUAAUGACAGUACCGGGAGAAUAAGCUCCGGCUAACUCCGUG